UACAGAGGUCCCAAGCGUUGUUCGGAUUCAUUGGGCGUAAAGGGUGCGUCGGCGGCGCGGUAAGUCGGGUGUGAAAUCUCGGAGCUUAACUCCGAAACUGCAUUCGAUACUGCCGUGCUUGAGGACUGGAGAGGAGACUGGAAUUUACGGUGUAGCGGUGAAAUGCGUAGAUAUCGUAAGGAAGACCAGUGGCGAAGGCGGGUCUCUGGACAGUUCCUGACGCUGAGGCACGAAGGCCAGGGGAGCAAACGGG
rnacentral:rRNA from 1 species